GUCAAUAUAUUACUGAGAAGAGAAAACACUAUCAGUAGAUACAAGAUCAAAAAUAGAGGGAGACGCCUCCUCUAUCCAAGUUCGUUCUGCAGAAUCUAAAGAACAAAAUUUAGCUAAACUAUGAGUAGACAAAUUGAAGCACCUCGACACAAAGGACCAACAGCACGUUCUCAACUGAUUACGAUAAAAAUAACAAUAUGCAAGCACCAAACCUAGCCCUGUUCACAUAUGAGAUUCAACCAACAGCUUAUCUAUUAAAUAUUUACAAUCCGUCUCAACAAUAAACGAAUGGAAGGACAAGUCAACAGCUAGCUUCAAGCCAAACGCAAUAGCCAAUGCCUCAGAGGUGUAUGAGUCCCAGUCUUCUACCACAAAUUUAUUAGCACUCGUAAGAACAUUACCCAAAUCAUCUCUGAACACCACUCCAAGACUGACAACGCGAGAUCUAAUAAUCCCUGCAUCUGUAUUCAUCUUGACUAGUCCAAAUGGUGGAGGAAACGAUCUGCUAAAGACCGCAUCCUGAUGAGUACCAGCUACAUUCUCCAAACAUGGUUUACCGACAGCUGAGAACUCAAAGAGCAUAGCAGUAGUGACAAAAGAAAUCUUCCGUGCGUCAAAUAUAGACUGCUCAAAAAGAAAUUUAUUCCGUAUAAACCAGAUAUUAUAACACACUGCACUAAAAAGAACCAUAUCAUCAUUGCUUAAUUUCUCAAAUAAAUUAAGAAACCAAUGCUUCACGGACUCAAUCUGCCUAUGCAACACUUCCUUCACAGGUAAAAUAUUAAGUACAGCGCGCCAAAGAAAGUUCAGCACCUUAGGAGGGGCAUUGAUUUUCUACAAUGAUUUCCUAAUGCCCUGCGAGCUAUUUGUAGACGUACCACCUUCCAUUGCUGAAUGAAUCAGC
rnacentral:misc_RNA from 1 species